GGUAAAGUACCAUUAUACCCUUAUUUAAUCAAACAUAAACCUAGUGUCUUUCUUCCACGAUUUCUUCAAUCUCAGAUCCACUAAUAACAAUCUAUCAAAUUCUCUUCGGUGAUCAAAUCCGGCGAGAUUCGAUGAUUCUGAGGAGUUUUCCGGCGAGAUUUGACGACACCGGCGAGUUCUCCGGCGAGAUUUGAAGACGCCGACGAAUUCUCCGACGAGAUUUGAUGACGCUGACGUUCGGUGAGAUUUGACGAAGACUUCAACCUCAAACGAACAGAACAAAACGACUUCUUACCACUAACACGUAACAAAGAUCUUUGUCCUGCGAUAAAAUUGGGAGUUGCUCCAAAUGAAAUCACCGGUGAACUUGGGAGUUGCUCCACGACAAUGUCAUUGUCCAAAUCGACAAGGCUAAUAGGCAGUCGUUCUAUCAAAACAACGAGACUGUACCACACGGAUUCACACAUACUUCAGAGGAUAUCGAGGAUGGUGAAGUUAUCGGUAUCAUCACUUUGGAAGAUGUGUUUGAAGAGCUUUUGCAGGAAGAGAUUGUGGAUGAAACUGAUGAAUAUGUUGACGUUCAUAAAAGGAUUCGAGUAGCAGCAGCAGCAGCUGCCUCAUCAAUAGCUCAAGCUCCUUCAAGCAGGAGAUUGAUUGCACAAAAAGGAGCUGGAGGAGGACAAAAUAGGCAAGCGCAGACGGUAAAAGGUUCUAUUACAGAGCCUGUUGAGGGGAAGCAACCAAUGUAAUGGAUGUUGUGUCAUUGCUUGAAGGGCUAAAACUCUUGUUUGCGUUAUAAGAAAGGAACAUAGAAUAAAGUAAAGAUCCAAGUCUUGACCACGUUCUGUUCAAUUGGAAAAUUCAUCAUAUAAGAGAUGGUUUGUCCCCCAGUUUUUUGUCUACAAAUGCGUACAAUUUGUAAUAUACUCCAGUACUUAUAUUCUUUUAUACGUGUCA